GCGGGAGUAGCUCAGCGGUAGAGCAUCUCGUUGCCAACGAGAAGGUCGCCGGUUCGACUCCGGUCUCCCGCUCAA
rnacentral:tRNA from 1 species